GCCUCUCGCCCGGCACGGCCAAAGGUGCCGCCCCGGUCUCUCCGUCCCGCCCCGAGCACGCCCCUCACUCCGCACCGGCCAAUGGCACCGCCCCGUCCGCCCCGCUCUGGGAACGCCGCUCCAGCAGAUGUGACAUAGACUGGAAGUGAUGGACCCAGACAACAAUCAGAACCAAAGCACCAGAUGAGCCACCUCAGCCACGUGAGCCAUGCCAGCCACCCUACCUGUGACCCCAUCUGUGGCCCCAGUUAUCAUGGAGUAGAGCCCUUUCUCUGUCUACAAAACCAACUUCCUCGCCCAGCUCAUGGGAACACUUAUUCUGUUGUAUAGAAUGAAGUGUUGCUUGAUUCUAGAAUCAAAGAAAGAGCAAGAGCAGGCAGGAGGGCAAGACGACAGCAAGAGAACAAGAAAGAAACCUGAAGAAAAGAAGUUUUAGUGAAGAUGGAAAGGCUUAAAACAUACCAUGGAGAAUGACCUCAGCCUUCUGUGUGGAGGAUUUGCACUUGGAGAUAAGGAAAGAGAGGGACUUCAGAGAGUUAAGCAGUUCAGUUUCCUUUGCAUUUCUUACAUCUGAGCAGGUGACCGGAGUGAACACUCUGGAAGCCACAGUGGAGUCCUCUGCUUGGGGCCUCUUUCUGGAAACCAGAUCAAUUCACUGAAAAACAAUUUGCAAAUGACUAGUUCAUUGAGAAGCAAGUGACCAAAACUCUAAGUCACCGAAUGACCUGCUCAUUGAUUUAUUGAAGAUUUUAUUCCAAGGUCUACUUCCCUCUGCAUUUGUGGCUGCCAUUUCAUAUGUGAAUGGGUGGGCAGUUUGCUGUCAUGCCCUUUUUGUGCAUCUCUAUCCUGACCCUGUAUGUGGUGCUGCCUUUUCCCAGGCCCCCUGCCCCUGCCCUGGCCUCUGUCUGCAAAGCAGUUGCAGCAACCUCCCUCUUGCUGUUGAAGAUACUCAUCUGAUGUCUAUUGUGAAUUGGCUGGAGCCCUUCUACAGGUUUGUUAGCGUCCCUCUGCAUCCAGGCUGAUGGUGCCUGCCAUGCUUCUACAUGCUGUUCUCUGCCACCCACCUGAGCCCAGCUAGAGUCAGUGGGGAAGUGGAGGAGCCACAUCAAAACAGUGUGUCCACCUCAGUCACCCUCCAGUGUGCAUUGACGACCAGGCAGCCAUUAGACCCAAAUGCAGCCCCACAGCAUAGAGGCAAAUGGAAAGGCCACAUAUCCUCUUUUCAUUCUCCUUCCAUGUGAGGCCCUGCAGAGCCUGGCAUCUGUCUUCAUCAUCGUGGCAUCCUCAGACUCUUUCUUCUUCCUGGAGCGAGCUGUGCUCUCUGAAGCCACUGCCUGUGUGGGAAGUACCCCAGCAUUUCUUCGCUGUUGCCAGGCAUCCCUUCCUGUCCUACCACUUCAAAUGCAUCUUUUCAUGUGUCCUUCCUGAGCACCUCUAGCAGCUGCAUGUUCCUGUUUCAGCCUCUGCCUUUCCACAGCUCCUCCAAGAUUCCUCUAUUGCAGAGCACAGCACCACCUUGCAGGAAACCUCCCAGAGGACUGUGAGGACCAUGAAGCAAGGGGCUGCAUCUUAUUCUCCUUGGUGUCUGGCCCAGCAGUGGGCCCAGGCCAGAUGCCAUUAAGAACAUUCAUGAUUCAUGAGAGGAGAUCAAAAUAUCAACAUAAACAGGAGUUUGAAAGAAGUUGAUUUCAACCCUUGUGGAUGACUAUGAGAGAUUCAAGGCUUCAGUGGAGAAUGCACCUACAGAUAUGGUGGAAACAGCAAAAGAAAUAGAAUCAGAAGUGGAGCCUGAAGAUUAAACUGAAUUGCUGCAAUCUCAUGAUAAAACUUGAACAGAUGAGGAGUUGCUUCUUACAGGACAAGGCUCAUCCCAGGAGGAUCCAUGAUGCUUUAUGAAGACAGUCCCAACAGCCCAUCUCUGUCAUCCUCCAGACGUGCCAAGGCUGAAUCAUGGAGCAAACACAGCACAGGCUCAAGCUGAGACCCUGCCAUGUGACCUCCUAGUUCUAUGAAAUACCCUUCAACAAUGCAGAAUUGACAAACCCUCCCAGAACCUGAUAUAGAUACACAUAUUUAUUAUAUAAGUGUCUCAGUAAAGAAACAAUUUUCUGUAGUGCUUAGUAGCAGACUUCUGACUCCAUAAGAUGUUUCUAAGUAAAGGUUUCUUGGUCAAGGAAUUUGGAAAAUGCUCAUAGUGUAUAUGAUUCUAGGAGACUUUGGAAACACAUUAGUGCAUUCGGAAGCCCUGCAGUAGUCUGCCGCAUGACUUAUUCCAGCUUAUCCCUACAUUAUGGAAUGCUUUUGUCACUGAAUACCUUCAGAACGCAUUUUGGGAAAACUUUUAUAUAUUCGUGGCAACCCUGGAGAAAAAACUUAGAGGUAAAGUUCCCUCUCCGAGAGGCCAUAAUAAAUGUGAAAGUGUGGAAAAGAGCCCUCAUCCUCCACCUCCAAGGCUGGUGUUCUUGCCAGGAUACCAUCCUAUCAGUUCUUUCUAAAACUCUCCUGUCCCCAGUGCAAAUACUCUCAUCAUGACAAUGCCUCACUUCAGCAGGCCUUCUCAUGGAGCUGCAGGAGUUCUUUGCAAAGUCCCCCAGCCCUGGUCUAGGAAUUGGGAGUUGCCUCACAGAUGCUUUAUUGUUAUUACUGGUUACAUGUGUGAUAUGUAGCAUACAUAUCAACUACACCUUUAACCAAUAACUUUUACUUAUUUUUUAUUUGGAGAAUGAUAUAUGCUCAUUAAAGAAAAAUUGGGGAAAAAGUUGGUAAAUAAUGAAGAAGAAAAAUUCACUUCAACCUAGAAAUAGCCCAGUGAACAUGCUGGUGUCAAGGGUGUACAUACACAUAUACAUGUUUGCAUGUUUUGGGAACAAUUUGAAACAAUAUGCAUGUUUGUUACAGUUUUGGAACUGUAACAAAAAUGCACAGUUAUAGUUAUUUAUCAUGACCUUCCUGUUUUUCUUGCCAUGAUAGGUUGUGAAGAUGUUUACAUAUCAUUAAACACUCUUUGGGAUCAUACUUUUUUUUUUUUUUUUUGAGAUGGAGUCUCGCUCUGUCACCCAGGCUGGAGUGCAGUGGCGCGAUCUCAGCUCGCUGCAAACUCCGCCUCCCGGAUUCACGCCAUUCGCCUGCCUCAGCCUCCUGAGUAGCUGGGACUACAGGUGCCCACCACCACGCCCGGCUAAUUUUUUGUAUUUUUAGUAGAGAUGGGGUUUUGCUGUGUUAGCCAGGAUGGUCUUGAUCUCCUGACCUCGUAAUCCUCCCGCCUCGGCCUCCUAAGGUGCUGGGAUUACAGGCGUGAGCCACCGCGCCCAGCCGGGAUCAUACUUUUAAUGGCUGCACAAUGCUGCCUUGUAUGAACGUGUGAUGUUUCACUCAGCCAUUGGUGGUAGAGUCAAUGCCACAGGUUCUCCAUACCAUUUCCUCUCUCUGAGCACUUGGUAAGCCUUCAUUUCCAAAUCUCCCCUGCAGUUUUGAGUUCUGGACAAUGGUUGUGGACAGAAGUUAUGGAUGCCACUUCUGUGCCUGGAGUAUCUGUCCCCUCAUCAGCAACUGUUGGUGACAGAACCACAGAUUGGGAGCAGCCUGGAUCUAAAGAAUCACUGCUUGGGAGAACUCUGCUUAGACAUGUCCAGACUACAUCAGACAUUAAGUGAGAAAUGAACCUUUGUGUGCUGAGUACCGAAAUUUCGACGUUUACUUGUUACUGCUGGAUUGCUUAGCAUACACUAACAUGUCAUCACUCUAGUUACAUCUUUGGGUUUGUUUUCAAUUUAUAUUUUAAAAAUAGAGCUUCAGUACACAUAUUAAAGCAUAAU
ensembl:lncRNA TMEM72-AS1 TMEM72 antisense RNA 1